rnacentral:rRNA from 1 species
UUGUACUGUCUCCUUUUUCUAAUCAGUGAAACUAAUCUCCCCGUGAAGAAGCGGGGAUACUACUAUAAGACGAGAAGACCCCAUGGAGCUUUAAACCCAACUACACCCCUAUUUACAACAACUACUUAACCAAUUGGACACUGUAUGCUUGGUUUUAGGUUGGGGCGACCACGGAGUAAAAAAUAACCUCCACGAUAAAUGGGCUUACCCCCUUAUCUAAGAGCCACACCUCUAAGAAUUAAAAUAUUAAUAUAAUAUGAUCCUUUCUUGAUCAACGGACCAAGUUACCCUGGGGAUAACAGCGCAAUCCAUUUCAAGAGCCCCUAUCGACAAAUGGG